UACGUAGGGGGCAAGCGUUGUCCGGAAUUAUUGGGCGUAAAGCGCGUGUAGGCGGCCAGAUAAGUCCGCUGUGAAAUCUCGAGGCUCAACUUCGAGCUGUCGGUGGAAACUAUCUGGCUAGAGUCCGGAAGAGGAGAAUGGAAUUCCUGGUGUAGCGGUGAAAUGCGCAGAUAUCAGGAAGAACACCCGUGGCGAAGGCGGUUCUCUGGGCCGAUACUGACGCUGAGGAGCGAAAGCGUGGGGAGCGAACAGG
rnacentral:rRNA from 1 species